GUCCGGAGCACUCCUUCCCUUCCCUGGUUCCUCAAGGCACGGCUCCCCCAGGCAGAUGAAAGCUUAAUAGAGUUUUGCGACAUGAAAGUCAGUCGGAGGAAAGAGCCUUGAACAGUUGUGCGUGAGAGAGAGGCAAGCACCCGAAAUUAUUUUACGACAAAGGCAGCGCUCUCUGCCACAAAGGCACAGAGGAGAAAGGAGCCCAGGAAACGGGUCAUUUCUUUCGUGGAAAAAUGGAAACUGCUCUGAAGCAUUUUGGGAGACGUGCUGUGAAGCAGGUGACACCAGAAGACAAGGACACUGGGGGCUCCCUGCCGGGAGGUGCAAAAAGCAACUCCCGUUUGAGGGUCAGAGGAGCCUGGAUGCUAAUGUCUCUCCAAGGUGACUUGGAGCCAACUGCCGGAAAGGCCAUGCCCUUAGGAACACAGGCAGGUCCCAGCUCAGGGAUCAAGAGGUCUGCUGUGUGACCUUCUUCAAGUUCCCGACCCUCUCUGGGCUGCAGUCACCUUAUUCAGAAAAUGGAGAGGCUAGACAAGAAAAUGCUGCUAAUCUCACCCUUUUCCGGGCUGGCAUUUUAUUGAGCACCUACUAGGCGCUGGGCAUUUUGCUAGGCCCUUCGUGCACACUGCCAUGAGAAAUCCACAGCAACCCCAGAGAUGGGUUCAUCAAUAACUCACCAACAAAUACUACCUGAGGCCCCACUGUGUGCCGAGCAGGGGCAUAGGUACUGGGCACACCUCGAUGAACAAGGGAGGUAAGGAUGUGACUCUCCUAGACCUUUCUGUCUAGAAGAGGAGAUGGAGAAUAAACAUGGAAACAAGCAAGAUCAUUCUGGAGAAAAUGCAAUCAGAUGAUGUGCUAGAUGGUAACAGAGAGAGGUCGAAUGAGAGAGAGGGCCGUGACAGCCUCUCUGAGAAGCUGAAAUCCAAGCAGAACCUGAAAGACGAGGAGAAACUCAGAUACAUAAAGACUGGGAAAAGCAUUCAAGUAGAGGGAACAGUGCGUGCAAAGGCCCUGAGGUGGGUGCAGUAGAUACCACAGGCCCCCUCACUCGAGACCCCUCCAAGCACCUCCUGCCCUCUUGUGCCACAGAGCUCAGAAAGCUAAAGCAAUGUUCCCCAGAGGUCCUGUGGCCAAGGUCCUGCAUGGGCCUGGGUGACCCCUGCAGAAGCUUCUGAGCAAGACUGAGCAGGGAAAGAAAGGCCAUGUCAGUAAACCACCCUCCAGUGAGCAUGGAGGCAGAGAGUCUCAUCCUGGCAUCCCAGGUGCUCAGCAGAGCAGACAGCAGCAGAGGGGCUCCCUAGAGCAGCUGGGGGCCCUGCCUGUGCCGUCGCUCUUUCCCCUCCCUGCCCUCUGGUCUGACAUCCCAUUGGCAUCACACACGAUGCCUCCCGGAGGUGCUCUUGUGCACACAGCAGGUCAAAGUGCCAGAGAAUUCGAUCCUGUCCUCUUGGGAACAGCCCUCAGCCAGCAGUGAGCCCUUAGGAGGAUGCUCUAAGCUCUGUCCUCCCCGGGUCCAGAGGUCCUGGGACGGAGUGCCAUUGUGGAAGCAGUGACAGCUUGAUGAAGCUCCCUGGGCUGGCCCCUUCCUCUCUGCCUUGUUCCCCGUUCCCUGCAGUCCUGCAAUC
rnacentral:lncRNA from 1 species